rnacentral:rRNA from 1 species
AUCAGUAGCUGGUCUGAGAGGAUGAUCAGCCACAUUGGGACUGAGACACGGCCCAAACUCCUACGGGAGGCAGCAGUGGGGAAUAUUGGACAAUGGGCGCAAGCCUGAUCCAGCCAUGCCGCGUGAGUGAUGAAGGCCCUAGGGUUGUAAAGCUCUUUUGUACGGGAAGAUAAUGACGGUACCGUAAGAAUAAGCCCCGGCUAACUUCGUGCCAGCAGCCGCGGUAAUACGAAGGGGGCUAGCGUUGCUCGGAAUCACUGGGCGUAAAGGGUGCGUAGGCGGGUUUUUAAGUCAGAGGUGAAAUCCUGGAGCUCAACUCCAGAACUGCCUUUGAUACUGGGAAUCUUGAGUAUGGAAGAGGUGAGUGGAACUGCGAGUGUAGAGGUGAAAUUCGUAGAUAUUCGCAAGAACACCAGUGGCGAAGGCGGCUCACUGGUCCAUAACUGACGCUGAGGCACGAAAGCGUGGGGAGCAAA